GUGCUCACUUUGACAGCACAUAAACUAAAUUUGGAACCAUACAGAGAAGAUUAACAUGGUCCUGCACAAGAAUGACACUUGAAUUUAUGAAGCAUUUCAUUUUAUU